rnacentral:pre_miRNA from 1 species
GUACUACUCCCUCCGUCCCAUAUUAAGUGUCGAAAUAUUACAUGUAUCUAGACGCUUUUUGCAUAUAGAUACAUCCAUAUUUAAGGAAAUUUGAGUCAUUUAAUAUGUGACGGAGGGAGUAGUUU